rfam:Salpingoeca sp. ATCC 50818 unplaced genomic scaffold supercont1.37, whole genome shotgun sequence.
UAACUGGUUGAUCCUGCCAGUAGUCAUAUGCUUGUCUCAAAGAUUAAGCCAUGCAUGUCUAAGUAUGAAUAGUAUUCUUGAUACUGUGAAACUGCGAAUGGCUCAUUAAAUCAGUUAUAGUUUAUUUGAUAGUUUGCAACUCGUUUUUCGGAGCGGUGUUGUGCUAGACGGAUAGCCGUGGUAAUUCUAGAGCUAAUACGUGCGACAAGGCCCGAGAGAGAGGUGUGUGUAUGCGCAUUUUUUCUUCUCGAGGGCUGCAUUUGUUAGGUAUAAAGCCAGCAGGAACAUGACUGGUGAAUCAGAAUAACUUUGCUGACCGUUACACUUUUGUGUGUGAUGGUGUCUCAUUCGAAUUUCUGCCCUAUCAACUUUCGAUGGUAAGGUAUUGGCUUACCAUGGUGACAACGGGUGACGGGGAACAUUUGGUUCGAUUCCGGAGAGGGAGCCUGAGAGACGGCUACCACUUCCAAGGAAGGCAGCAGGCGCGCAAAUUACCCAAUCCUGACACAGGGAGGUAGUGACAAUAAAUACCAAUGCACGGUGUUUUUUAUGCACUGUGCAAUUGGAAUGAGAACAAUGUAAAGACCUUAUCAAGGAACAAUUGGAGGGCAAGUCUGGUGCCAGCAGCCGCGGUAAUUCCAGCUCCAAAAGCGUAUACUAAAGUUGUUGCAGUUAAAAAGCUCGUAGUUGGAUUUCAUGCGGGGUUCACGGUGUGUGGUGGGGGUGAGACAACGUUUCGCCUUUGCCCCGCACUGUUUGCGCUCUGCAGUUUUAAUAUUCCCUGGUGGCGCCUUUGGCGCGUGCCCUUGAUUGGGUGUGUGUCAAGUCACGUAGUGGUGGGGCGCUGUUGGGGGCUUUACUUUGAAAAAAUUAGAGUGUUCAAAGCAGGCAGUCAUUUGAUUUGCUUGAAUAGAUUAGCAUGGAACAACGGAAGAGGACUUUUGGGCCUGUACUGUUGGCGUGUGGUGCGGGGGUGUGGAGUGAGAAGCCGCAAGGUUUUCUUAUUCCUCCCUCACCACAUCGGGUCUGAAGUAAUGAUUAAUAGGGACGGUUGGGGGCACUGGUAUUUCGUUGUCAGAGGUGAAAUUCUUGGAUUUACGAAAGACCGCCGACUGCGAAAGCAUUUGCCAAGGACGCUUUCAUUGAUCAAGAACGAAAGUUAGGGGAUCGAAGACGAUUAGAUACCGUCGUAGUCUUAACCAUAAACGAUGCCGGCCAGGGCUCGGUGGGCAGCACAAAUGUUUCAAAGCAUGGUGGCGCCAUCGGGACCUUUAGGGAAACCAAAGCGUUUGGGUUCCGGGGGGAGUAUGAUCGCAAGAUUGAAACUUAAAGGAAUUGACGGAAGGGCACCACCAGGAGUGGAGCCUGCGGCUUAAUUUGACUCAACACGGGGAAACUCACCAGGUCCAGACAUGGGAAGGAUUGACAGAUUGACAGCUCUUUCUUGAUUCCAAGGGAGGUGGUGCAUGGCCGUCCAGCUUUUGUUGUGAAAUCUCUGUUUGAUUACGGUAAACGGCGAGACCUUGACUUGCUGAUUGGUGUAGGGAAGCGUGCGCUUUCUUGGUGGGGGCUGUGCGAAAGCACUCCCCACAUCACACCACUCAGAGGGACACUCGGCGUUGCUAUUGAGCGUAAGCCGAAGGAAGUUUGAGGCGAUAACAGGUCUGUGAUGCCCUUAGAUGUUCUGGGCUGCACGCGCGCUACACUGACGGGGGCAGCGAGUAUGCUUUGGGUGUUUGUGGUGGGGAAAGUCUUGUGCUUUUCUGCAUUCACAAACAUCUAUUCCUGCGCUGGAAGGCGUGGGGACUCUUGUGAAAACCCGUCGUGCUGGGGAUAGAUGCUUGCAAUUAUUCAUCUUGAACGAGGAAUUCCUAGUAAGCGCAAUUCAACAGAUUGCGUUGAUUACGUCCCUGCCCUUUGUACACACCGCCCGUCGCUACUACCGAUUGAAUGGUUUAGUGAGGCCUCGGGAUUGGCGCGUGGGCGCUGGCAACAGCUGCCCAUGUGUUUCUUUGCUGAGAACCUGGUCAAACUUGAUCAUUUAGAGGAAGUAAAAGUCGUAACAAGGUUUCCGUAGGUGAACCUGCGGAAGGAUCAUUC